rnacentral:rRNA from 1 species
GACGAACGCUGGCGGCGUGCUUAACACAUGCAAGUCGAACGGAAAGGCCCUGCUUUUGUGGGGUGCUCGAGUGGCGAACGGGUGAGUAACACGUGAGUAACCUGCCCUUGACUUUGGGAUAACUUCAGGAAACUGGGGCUAAUACCGGAUAGGAGCUCCUGCUGCAUGGUGGGGGUUGGAAAGUUUCGGCGGUUGGGGACGGACUCGCGGCUUAUCAGCUUGUUGGUGGGGUAGUGGCUUACCAAGGCUUUGACGGGUAGCCGGCCUGAGAGGGUGACCGGCCACAUUGGGACUGAGAUACGGCCCAGACUCCUACGGGAGGCAGCAGUGGGGAAUAUUGCACAAUGGGCGGAAGCCUGAUGCGGCAACGCCGCGUGCGGGAUGACGGCCUUCGGGUUGUAAACCGCUUUCGCCUGUGACGAAGCGUGAGUGACGGUAAUGGGUAAAGAAGCACCGGCUAACUACGUG